GCCUCUAUGGUCUAGUUGGUUAUGACGCGAGUCUCAUAUUUCGAUAUGACGUUUCUGCUCAAACAGGAAUGAGAAUUAUCUGCGACAUCUCGAGGUCCCCAGUUCGAUCCUGGGUGGAGGCA